ACCCUAAAGAAACAUAGUUGCAGCUCUGUCUCCCUCCUAUCGCCACCGCCAAGAUCCUUCCUCAGUUCCACAAAAUCUCACCAAUCAACAAUCAUACACUCGAUCUAAGAUCUUUGUUACCUAUCAAUCAAGAUUGUUGUUUUUCAGCCCAAUUCCAAGCACAGCCAGGGUUUCUGUCAUAAAUCGAUUUCUAGGGUUUUUGACAUAAAAUGGUUUGGAUAAAAUAUUGUGGAAAAUGAUGAUGACAUAACUAAAUGCAAAAAGAGUAAUUCUACUGGUUCCGGAUCGAAAAAGUGGAUGUUCUGGUCUUUGCUGAGGCGGAGCAAUAGCGAAGGUAAGGAGUCGAUGGUGUUGAAGAAGGUGGAUAGUCCGAAGCAAAAGCGGAAUUUGGGUGAGGGUUUUGCACAGAUUGGCGAACGAUUGUCGUGUUGAUAAGCUGGUAUAAUCUGUUUGAAGUGCUAUCAUAAUAGGUCCAAUCUGCGACUAGGAGGGAUCUAAGGCAUGGCUAAUUAGGAUUAUGAUACAUACAUUAUCAAAUGGUUACCAGAAUGCCUUAGCAUUAUUGGAUAUCUACGAAUAAUAGGAAUAUAUAGUGAGUAUGGAAUGCUCCUACAUGUAUCUUUAUUGUAUCUAACUAUUUACUCAUGGGUUAUGCAGCAACUGAUAGUAUUCUUUGUUAUAGACAAAUGGAAAGAAUAGCGGUGGAAUAUUGCAAGGCAGCUGGGUCGGUCUUCUCACGCGUGUCCAGGCGUUUCCUUUCCUUCAUGGUGUGGAGAGAUAUGCUUAUAGAGAGAGAGAGAUAGACAGGGAAGACGGCAUCACGAAUGGUGAGAACAGUACCUGGACUGACUAAAGAUUACCGAAUAGGUGAAUUCACCUGAUAUAAUUCAAAGUACAAAAUGAUGCAAAUGACAUGUUGACACAAGACUAGAAAUAACAAGAACAUCUUAAGUGAUGUUAAUCUGAGAGGAGGAGUUCAUAUUUAUUUUGUGUUGUCAACGAAGAGCUUUAUCAUGAUGUAGAUUAUCUCUUUUCCAGCUUGAGCUACUAUCAAUUAUGGAGAAGUUGCGAGACAUAUGGUACAAAGGAUCUAGGAAUCAACAAAGGUUAUACAAUGGUUUCGGGUGUUUGGCGACAGGGAGAAUGUUGGGCGUUGGAGCAUGUUUCGGUACCUACGAGUUAUUAACGACUUUCUAUAAAGACGGUCGUAAAGACAACUAGGUGUACGUCUCUAAAGCUCUCACAGCAGGAAUCGUAGCAAGUGGUGUGGAAUCACUAAUGAGCUCUCCGUUUGAGCUUUUUACUAUCCGUGCACAAGUGUCAGUCGUUUCUUGUGUUCCAAACUCUUCUACGAAUUUGCAAAAAGCGUCUGUAUCAACUUCAGUUACAAAACUACUGCGUGGAUAUAAUCCAGACGUCAAGGCACUGGACCAUUCGAUUGGUCUGUUGUCCACCGUAGACACUAAACGUUCGAACUUGACGGGCUCUCUGAAAGAGUACCCGUGUAUAUGUUUUUAUAUUUCAUCUAACGAGGCCUAAUGCAUUAGUGUUACUCCUGAUUCAAUAUUUUACUCAAUAGGUAUGGUUUGAUUUUAAUUUUAA
rnacentral:lncRNA from 1 species